GAUCCCUGGCUCAGGAUGNACGCUGGCGGCGUGCCUAAUACAUGCAAGUCGAGCGGACUUACAAAAGCUUGCUUUUGUAAGUUAGCGGCGGACGGGUGAGUAACACGUGGGCAACCUGCCCUUGAGACUGGGAUAACUUCGGGAAACCGGAGCUAAUACCGGAUAAUAUGAGGAACCUCCUGGUUCCUUAUUGAAAGAUGGUUUCGGCUAUCACUUAAGGAUGGGCCCGCGGCGCAUUAGCUAGUUGGUGAGGUAACGGCUCACCAAGGCGACGAUGCGUAGCCGACCUGAGAGGGUGAUCGGCCACACUGGGACUGAGACACGGCCCAGACUCCUACGGGAGGCAGCAGUAGGGAAUCUUCCACAAUGGACGAAAGUCUGAUGGAGCAACGCCGCGUGAGUGAUGAAGGCCUUCGGGUCGUAAAGCUCUGUUGUUAGGGAAGAACAAGUGCGAGAGUAACUGCUCGCA
rnacentral:rRNA from 1 species